rnacentral:rRNA from 1 species
UACAGAGGGUGCGAGCGUUAAUCGGAAUUACUGGGCGUAAAGCGUGCGCAGGCGGUGAGCUGUGUCCGAUGUGAAAGCCCCGGGCUUAACCUGGGAAUGGCAUUGGAAACUGGCUCGCUGGAGUGUGGCAGAGGGGGGUGGAAUUCCGCGUGUAGCAGUGAAAUGCGUAGAGAUGCGGAGGAACACCGAUGGCGAAGGCAGCCCCCUGGGCUAACACUGACGCUCAGGCACGAAAGCGUGGGGAGCAAACAGG